rnacentral:snRNA from 1 species
AUAUCUGAUACGACUCCCAUCGGGGGUCAAGAUAUUAAUCUUAUUUUUGGCAUGCGGCGGAGAGCUUGAGGCUUGCUUCACCUCCGCCACGGGUUGGC